rnacentral:rRNA from 1 species
GAGUUUGAUCUUGGCUCAGAUUGAACGCUGGCGGCGUGCUUAACACAUGCAAGUCGAGCGGUAACAGGUGUAGCAAUACAUGCUGACGAGCGGCGAACGGGUGAGUAAUGCUUCGGAAUCUGCCCAGUAGUGGGGAAUAACUAACCGAAAGGUUAGCUAAUGCCGCAUACGACCUAUGGGUGAAAGGAGGGGAUCGUAAGACCUUUCGCUAUUGGAUGAGCCGAAGUCGGAUUAGCUAGUUGGUGAGGUAACGGCUCACCAAGGCGACAAUCCGUAGCUGGUCUGAGAGGACGACCAGCCACACUGGGACUGAGACACGGCCCAGACUCCUACGGGGGGCAGCAGUGGGGAAUAUUGGACAAUGGGGGAAACCCUGAUCCAGCGACGCCGCGUGUGUGAAGAAGGCCUGCGGGUUGUAAAGCACUUUUAGUAGAGAUGAAAAGCCCAGGGCUAAUACCCUUGGGUCUUGACCUAACCUACAGAAAAAGCACCGGCUAACUCUGUGCCAGCAGCCGCCGUAAC